rnacentral:lncRNA from 10 species
AUGUUUAUAGCCUCUGCCAUUUAUUACAAGAAAUAGUACUUUGAGUACAUACCUCAUUUCUGGUACUGUUCUUGGUCCUAGGGGUACAGCAGUGUAAAAAGACAAACGUUUCUGGCCAGGCAUGGUGGCUUAUGCAUAUAGUCCCAGAACUUGGGAGUCCAAGGUGGGACAAAUGCUUGAGGUCAGGAGUUUGAGACCAGCUUGGGCAAAAUAUCAAGACCCUUUCUCUACAUUGUUUUGUUUGUUUGUUUGUUUUUUGAGACAGAAUAUUUCUCAGUUGCCAGGCUGGAGUGCAGUGGUGCGAUCUCAGCUCACUGCAACCUCCACCUCCCAGGUUCAAGUGAUUCGCCUCCGUCAGCCUCCUGAGUAGCUGUGACUACAGGCGCGCCACCACGCACAGGCUUUGGCAUCAGGAUACCACUGCUCAACCAAAUAAAAGAAGACACAAACAAACGGAAGACCAUUCCAUGCUCAUGGAUAGGAAGAAUCAAUAUCGUGAAAAUGGC